rnacentral:misc_RNA from 1 species
GUUGCAGAUCAUAUUUCUGCUCUAGAAAAGGAAACAAGCUAUACGCCACCAAUUUUAGGUCCCGAUACGAAUACCUGUUAUCUCAAAUCUCAGAUCUUUGACUGUUGCGCAAUCUUGAACCACUCAGUGUGGAAGGCUCCAGGCAUAUCAAUCCUCUCGUAAGUGUGCGCUCCAAAGUAGUCUCUCUGAGCUUGGACUAGAUUAGCAGGCAGCCUCGCCCUCCUAUACGUGUCGAAAUACGCCAAGCUAGCCGACAUCCCUGGUGUGCUUAUACCAGUGUUGAUAGCAACACAUACUACCCUGCGCCAGGCAGCCUGGCGAUCAACUAUCUCUUUUGCAAACUCGGGGUCGACGAGCAGGUUUGCGAGCCCGGGGUUCCUGUCGUAGGCCUGCUUGAUACGAUCCAAGAAGAUCGCCCGGAUGAUGCACCCGCCCUUCCAUAUCCUCGCAAGCUCGCCCAACUUGAGGUCCCACCCUUGCUCAAUGCUCUUCGCCCUGAUCAGAUUCAUCCCUUGAGCAUAGCUGCAGAUUUUUGAAGCAUAGAGAGCCUGCCUCACAUCAUCAAUCAAUUUCGCCUUAUCCACGGUCUCAUCGCUCAAGAUAUCGCUGACACCCUCAGAUUUGAAAACUUUAGCAGCUUCAACCCGUUCGUCCUUCAAACCACUGAGGAACCGAGAAUCUAGUGAUGCUUCGAUUGUUGGAGCCGCUACGGAUAAGUCGGCUGCUUGUUGGACCGUCCAUUUCCCCGUACCUUUCAUUCCGGUUUUGUCCAAGACCUUGUCCACCAAAUACCCAUCCGCCUUGUCAUCCUUGAUUCCGAAGAUAUCCGCCGUAAUCUCGAUCAAGAAACUAAGAAGCUCGCCCUUGUUCCACUCCAAAAAAACAUUUUUCAGCUCUUCAUUAGUAAGCUUCCCGACGGAUUUCAACACAUCGUAAGCUUCCGCUAUCAACUGCAUAUCUCCAUACUCGAUUCCGUUGUGGACCAUCUUCACGAAAUUACCUGAUCCUCCUUUGCCUAUGUAUGUGACGCACGGGCCACUAUCGGGAACCUGAGCGGCUACCUUGAGAAGGAUAUCUUCGAUAUACUUGUAGGCCUCAAAUGAGCCUCCUGGCAUCAUCGAAGGCCCGUGGCGUGCACCCUCCUCUCCACCGGAAACACCCAUCCCGAGAUAAAGAAAGCCAAGCUCGGCCAUGGCUUUCUCCCUCCUCUCGGUGUUCUCGUACCACUCGUUGCCCCCAUCGAUAAUACAGUCUCCCUUCUCAAGGUAAGCAGUGAGAGUCGCUAUUGUUUGAUCAACGGGCGCACCAGCCUUCACCAGCAUGAUGAUGACACGUGGCUUCUGGAUCGAGUUGACAAAAGAUUUGGGAUCAUGGAAACCGUAAACUGGGAGAUUCCCUUCAACUUUGGCACGCUCCACAGUCUCAUCAACCUUAGAGGUGGUCCGGUUGUACACGGAGAUUGGGAACCCCUUGUCGGCAAUAUUGAGAGCAAGGUUUUGGCCCAUGACUGCGAGGCCAGCAAGGCCGAUUCUGGUAAGAACCAUUUUUUACCUUG